CUUCAACGACCCCAACCACAAAGGCCGAUCAGCCGACCGCUCCCGCCCAUACGUCGCCAGCAACGCCUGCGCCUC
rnacentral:antisense_RNA from 1 species